UACGUAGGGAGCAAGCGUUGUCCGGAUUUAUUGGGCGUAAAGAGCGUGUAGGCGGCCAGGUAGGUCCGUUGUGAAAACUCGAGGCUCAACCUCGAGCUGUCGAUGGAAACCAUCUGGCUAGAGUCCGGAAGAGGAGAGUGGAAUUCCCGGUGUAGCGGUGAAAUGCGCAGAUAUCGGGAAGAACACCCGUGGCGAAGGCGGCUCUCUGGGACGGUACUGACGCUGAGACGCGAAAGCGUGGGGAGCGAACAGG
rnacentral:rRNA from 1 species